rnacentral:rRNA from 1 species
CCUUCGGAGUGCAGCAGUGGGGAAUAUUGCACAAUGGGGGAAACCCUGAUGCAGCGACGCCGCGUGAGUGAAGAAGUACUUCGUUAUGUAAAGCUCUAUCAGCAGGGAAGAAAGUGACGGUACCUGAGAAACAAGACCUGGCUAACUACGUGCCAGUAGACACGGGAAUACGUAGGGGGCAAGCGUUAACCGGAUUUACUGGGUGGAAAGGGACAGUAGAGGGCAGUGCAAGUCUGGAGUGAAGGGCGGGGGCUCAACCCCCGGACUGCUCUGGAAACUGUAAGGCUGGAGUGCGGGAGAGGUAAGUGGAAUUCCUAGUGUAGCGGUGAAAUGCGUAGAUAUUAGGAGGAACACCAGUGGCGAAGGCGGCUUACUGGACUGUAACUGACGUUGAGGCUCGAAAGCGUGGGGAGCAAACAGGAUUAGAUACCCCUGUAGUC